CAGCACCUCAAGUGGUCAGGAUGAUUAUUGGGCCUAAAGCAUCCGUAGCCUGCUUUGUCAGUUUUCGGAUAAAUCCAUACGCUCAACGUAUGGGCUGCCGGGAAUACUGCAAAGCUAGGGAGUGGGAGAGGUAGACGGUACUCGGUAGGAAGGGGUAAAAUCCUUUGAUCUAUUGAUGACCACCUGUGGCGAAGGCGGUCUACCAGAACACGUCCGACGGUGAGGGAUGAAAGCUGGGGGAGCAAACCGGAUUAGAGACCCGCGUAGUCC
rnacentral:rRNA from 1 species